GAAAAGCCUCUAGAUAGAAAAUAGGUGCCCGUACCGCAAACCGACACAGGUAGUCAAGAUGAGAAUUCUAAGGUGAGCGAGCGAACUCUCGUUAAGGAACUCGGCAAAAUGACCCCGUAACUUCGGGAGAAGGGGUGCUCUUUAGGGUUAACGCCCAGAAGAGCCGCAGUGAAUAGGCCCAAGCGACUGUUUAUCAAAAACACAGGUCUCUGCUAAACCGUAAGGUGAUGUAUAGGGGCUGACGCCUGCCCGGUGCUGGAAGGUUAAGAGGAGUGGUUAGCUUCUGCGAAGCUACGAAUCGAAGCCCCAGUAAACGGCGGCCGUAACUAUAACGGUCCUAAGGUAGCGAAAUUCCUUGUCGGGUAAGUUCCGACCCGCACGAAAGGCGUAACGAUUUGGGCACUGUCUCAACGAGAGACUCGGUGAAAUCAUAGUACCUGUGAAGAUGCAGGUUACCCGCGACAGGACGGAAAGACCCCGUGGAGCUUUACUGUAGCCUGAUAUUGAAAUUCGGCACAGCUUGUACAGGAUAGGUAGGAGCCUUUGAAACGUGAGCGCUAGCUUACGUGGAGGCGCUGGUGGGAUACUACCCUAGCUGUGUUGGCUUUCUAACCCGCACCACUUAUCGUGGUGGGAGACAGUGUCAGGCGGGCAGUUUGACUGGGGCGGUCGCCUCCU
rnacentral:rRNA from 1 species